rnacentral:rRNA from 1 species
UGCUACGGUGAAUACGUUCCCGGGCCUUGUACACACCGCCCGUCAAACAAUGGAAAUUGGGGGUACCUAAAGUCGAUAACCGCAAGGAGUCGCCUAGGGUAAAACCGAUAACUGGUGUU